UACGUAGGGUGCGAGCGUUGUCCGGAAUUAUUGGGCGUAAAGAGCUCGUAGGCGGUCUGUCGCGUCGAUCGUGAAAACUUGGGGCUUAACCCUGAGCUUGCGGUCGAUACGGGCAUGACUGGAGUUCGGCAGGGGAGACUGGAAUUCCUGGUGUAGCGGUGAAAUGCGCAGAUAUCAGGAGGAACACCGGUGGCGAAGGCGGUCUGCUGGGCAGUAGCUGACACUGAGGCGCGACAGCGUGGGGAGCAAACAGG
rnacentral:rRNA from 1 species